rnacentral:rRNA from 1 species
AGGGUAUGAUACUGGCUCAGAACGAACGCUGGCGGCGUGUUUAAGACAUGCAAGUCGAACGAGAAACCCGGUUUCGAUCGGGGAGUAAAGUGGCGGACGGGUGAGGAAUAAUCAGACAACCUGCCCUCGAGUGGGGGACAACUUGGCGAAAGCCAAGCUAAUACCGCGUGACGUUGUCUGCCGCAUGGCGGAUAACCAAAGGCGGGGUCUUCGGACCUUGUCGCUCGAGGAGGGGUUUGAUUCCUAUCAGCUUGUUGGUGAGGUAACGGCUCACCAAGGCGAAGACGGGUAGUGGGUCUGAGAGGAUGACCCGCCACAUUGGGACUGAGACACUGCCCAGACUCCUACGGGAGGCUGCAGUAAAGAAUCAUUCACAAUGCGCGAAAGCGUGAUGAUGCAACGCCGCGUGUGGGAUGAAGGCCCUAGGGUUGUAAACCACUGUCACGCAAUAGGAAAUCCAUCAGGGUAACGCCUGGUGGUUGACCACAGCGAGAGGAAGCUCCGGCUAACUCCGUGCCAGCAGCCGCGGUAAGACGGAGGGAGCAAGCGUUGUUCGGAAUCACUGGGCGUAAAGGGCGUGUAGGCGGCUAGAUCAGUCAGGUGUGAAAUCCCUCGGCUUAACCGGGGAAUUGCGUCUGAUACUGUCUGGCUUGAGGGCAGAAGGGGAGAGUGGAAUUCCUGGUGGAGCGGUGAAAUGCGUAGAUAUCAGGAGGAACGCCAGCGGCGAAAGCGACUCUCUGGUCUGCACCUGACGCUGAGGCGCGAAAGCUAGGGGAGCAAACAGGAUUAGAUACCCUGGUAGUCCUAGCCGUAAACGAUGGGCACUACGUGGAGGGGGGUCCGAACCUUUCUCCGCCGCAGUUAACGCAUUAAGUGCCCCGCCUGGGGAGUACGGUCGCAAGUCUGAAACUCAAAGUAAUUGACGGGGGCUCGCACAAGCGGUGGAGCAUGCGCCUUAAUUCGAAGCGACGCGAAGAACCUUACCGGGGUUUGACAUGCUUGGAUUAAGCCAUUGAAAGAUGGUCUACACCCUUUAGGGUGGAACUUGCACAGGUGCUGCAUGGCCGUCGUCAGCUAGUGUCGUGAGAUGUUGGGUUAAGUCCCGUAACUAGCGAAACCCUUAUCCUUAGUUGCCAGCGGGUAAUGCCGGGGACUCUACGGAGACUGCCUCUGUUAAAGAGGAGGAAGGUGGGGAUGACGUCAGGUCAGCAUGGCCCUUACGCCCCGGGCUGGACGCGUGUUACAAUGGCUGGUACAAAAGGAAGCAAGACCGAAAGGUGGAGCGAAACCUCAAAACCAGUCUCAGUCCGGAUCGAGGUCUGAAACUCGACCUCGUGAAUGCUGGAAUCGCUAGUAAUCGUGGAUCAGCAAUGCCACGGUGAAUAUGUUCCCGAGCCUUGUACACACCGCCCGUCAAGCCAUCCGAGCAGGAGGCACCCGAAGUCGCGAUUCCAACCCGCAAGGGAGGUAAGCGCCGAAGGUGAAGCUUGUAAGGAGGACUAAGUCGGAACAAGGUA